UACUCCAUGGCAUUUUCAGUGCUUGUUACCUUGUUUUUCAUUGAUUUUCUAGCAACUAAGAAGGCCAUUAUAGAGGGGCAUUCAGCUGGUUCUCUUGUAGCAGCUGAGUCAUAUUUUGAAGCACCAGAACGUGUGGCUGCUCUAAUCCUUAUUUUUAUCACAAGAAAAUUUUGAGAACUAGCCAAGACUUAUCAUGUCAACCGGAUACAAGUGAUGGCGAUUAGAGUUGGGUUUUCAAUUUACAAAAUUAAUUCUUAUG